rnacentral:lncRNA from 1 species
UUGCCACAGUGACUCUGUAACCGGACGGCUGCGGAAGAGGCAAAGUAGCCCCAACCACGCAGAGCAAAGACAGCCUGGUCUAGAGCACAAGCGGUCCUCAGAGAGCAAUUGCCCUCCCAUUAUGCCUCUGCCUCUGGCAGCCACUGCUGAUGAUCAAAAGCUUUUAAUUGCUCUUUGCUGUAUUUAACAGAGAUUCCUGUCAUACACGAAAUUCCAGCUGAUCACAAAGAAGUCCUGUCCUAUGAAACCAGAGAUAAAAUAGGAAUUUGUCCAAGUCAGAGUUUGGAAAAAACCCAGAAUUCCAGGCUCGGCCUGAUGGUGUUUGCUCUCCGUGCUGCUUCUGGCCACAGACGAGAAGGACACAGUCAUAAAAUUGUGAAGAAGACAGUUAAGAUCCAUGCUGAUGGGAAAAGAGAAUCAGCUAUGCAUUGUACUCUACUGGACAGAGCCUUUCUGUGGCGCAGCGAGGAGUUAUUGAGGUGCAUAAUAAACAUAACCCGUGAACUACAUUCACAGCCAAGAUGUGCUUCAAUCUUUGAAGAGAAAAUUCCUAGAGUUUCUCAUUGA